CUACGGGCUGCACCAGUGAGGAAUUUUGCGCAAUGGGGGAAACCCUGACGCAGCAACGCCGCGUGAGCGAAGAAGGCCUUCGGGUCGUAAAGCUCUGUCAAGUGGGAAAAAAAUUCUUUGAUGAACAGUCAAAGGACUUGAUGGUACCACUGGAGGAAGCACCGGCUAAGUCCGUGCCAGCAGCCGCGGUAAUACGGAGGGUGCAAGCGUUGUUCGGAAUUACUGGGCGUAAAGAGCGGGUAGGCGGUUUGACAAGUCAGAUGUGAAAGCCCCGGGCUCAACCCGGGAAGUGCAUUUGAAACUGUUUCACUAGAGUAUGGGAGAGGAGAUUGGAAUUCCUGGUGUAGAGGUGAAAUUCGUAGAUAUCAGGAGGAACACCCGUGGCGAAGGCGAUUCUCUGGACCAAUACUGACGCUGAGACGCGAAAGCGUGGGGAGCAAACAGGAUUAGAUACCCUCGUAGUC
rnacentral:rRNA from 1 species